UUUUAAUAUAAGUAUACUGGCAGUCUCUACAUAUGUGAGACAUUGCAGUGUAUAGCAGGAGGAUUAACGUCAGUGCUUUAGAUGUCCAGAAUUAUGCAUCAUGGAGCCCAAUGAUAUUUGUGGGUAUUAGGGGGGGGCAGGGUCAAGAGUGGAUAUUAAGGUGAGAAGUACAUUGUGGGGACCAAGAGUAUGCUUGGGUAUUAGAGAAAGCAGUUAAUUAACCAGGGAGGGCAAGUUAUUGUGGGGACCUGGGUUAUGUGUGGAUAUUAGGAGGAGCAUGGUUAUGUGUGGGUAUUAGGGAAGCAGUGCAUUGUGGGGGCACGGGUUAUGUGUGGGUAUUAGGGAAGCAGUGCAUUGUGGGGGCAUAGGUUAUGUGUGGGUAUUAGAGGAAACAGUUGAUUGUUGGGGCCAGGGUUAUGUGUGGGUAUUAGAGAAGCAGUGCAUUGUGGGGGCACGGGUUAUGUGUGGGUAUUAGGGAAGCAGUGCAUUGUGGGGGCACGGGUUAUGUGUGGGUAUUAGGGAAGCAGUGCAUUGUGGGGGCAUAGGUUAUGUGUGGGUAUUAGAGGAAACAGUUGAUUGUUGGGGCCAGGGUUAUGUGUGGGUAUUAGAGAAGCAGUGCAUUGUGGGGGCACGGGUUAUGUGUGGGUAUUAGGGAAGCAGUGCAUUGUGGGGGCACGGGUUAUGUGUGGGUAUUAGGGAAGCAGUGCAUUGUGGGGGCAUAGGUUAUGUGUGGGUAUUAGAGGAAACAGUUGAUUGUUGGGGCCAGGGUUAUGUGUGGGUAUUAGGGAAGCAGUGCAUUGUGGGGGCAUGGGUUAUGUGUGGGUAUUAGGGAAGCAGUGCAUGGUGGGGGCACGGGUUAUGUGUGGGUAUUAGGUAAGCAGUGCAUUGUGGGGGCAUGGGUUAUGU